GACUUAUAUCCGGGAUUGUGGGGGCACCUGCCUUCUCCAAGACCUGGUUUUCACAUCUCUUCCUGGAAGUUUAUCUGGCUUCACCCCUCCAUUGGCUCUGGGCGAGCCCCGAAGUUUGGAGGCAGACGAGGAGCAGGCAGCGGCCCGCCGGGCGCGGAGC